rnacentral:rRNA from 1 species
UCCCAGACUCCUACGGGAGGCAGCAGUGGGGGAUAUUGCACAAUGGGGGAAACCCUGAUGCAGCGACGCCGCGUGAGCGAUGAAGUAUUUCGGUAUGUAAAGCUCUAUCAGCAGAGAAGAAAAUGACGGUACCUGACUAAGAAGCCCCGGCUAACUACGUGCCAGCAGCCGCGGUAAUACGUAGGGGGCAAGCGUUAUCCGGAUUUACUGGGUGUAAAGGGAGCGUAGACGGCCAUUCAAGCCAGAUGUGAAAGCCCGGGGCUCAACUCCGGGACUGCAUUUGGAACUGUGGGGCUAGAGUGUCGGAGAGGCAGGCGGAAUUCCUAGUGUAGCGGUGAAAUGCGUAGAUAUUAGGAGGAACACCAGUGGCGAAGGCGGCCUGCUGGACGAUGACUGACGUUGAGGCUCGAAAGCGUGGGGAGCAAACAGGAUUAGAUACCCCGGUA